AUUCCUUCGCCACACACACACACACACACACACACACACUCAUGGCGAGCAGAGGGGACGCUGCUGUCUCUGUGCUGGACUGACUGGAGCUCCGCUUCUCCACAAUCUUUCGCAAUCCCCCAUGAACGCAGUGUUGUAAAGAGGCGUGAGUGUCCACAUUCUUCCGUCUACUGGCUUUACCAAGACAUAACUCACCAUGAACAGCAUGAGCAGUUGCGGCUUUCUGAAUAUGGCGACGACAGGAGAUUUCGACCCGCUCAACGCCACAAUUCCUGCCACAAAAGUUGAGAUUACAGUGUCGUGCAGAUAUACAUCCUUCUUGUACACAUCCACAAGAAGGUGGAUAUUGUUGUAAAGAUCACCAGUGAACCACUGACCUAAACCCAACCAAUAGUGCUUUCAAAAGCAAACAAGAACUGAAGUUACUGAGGAAACUAGUGUUGCACGAUAUACUGCUACCAAAAGGAUAUCGCCACAAUUUCAGUAGAAAACAACUCUCUUCUCGUUCAAAUGUUGCUGAAUAUUUCAAUUAAUAAAUAUACAGAUGUACAAAUAUAUACAAUAGAUACAAGUGAUAGACACCUUUAAUUGUUUUGUGGCAUUGAUUUGGUGUUGUGCAAAGAACUGCAUGGAAAUCAUCUUUCAUUCGUCGAUAACAUGUCCCUGUAAAUAUCAUUAGUGUGAAAAGGAACAAAAGUUGCUGUCGUCAUUGUAUUAUGCACCAACCUGUGAGAUCUCUUCGCUCUUUGAGUCGUCUCUAUUUGCUAGUUUCUAGAUCACGCUUAAAAUGUCGAGAUAGCGGCUCCAAGACUUUGGAACGAUCUUCCACUCUCUUUAAGAACAGUUCAAACUGAGGUCGCUGAAAACAC